rnacentral:rRNA from 1 species
GAUGAACGCUGGCGGCGUGCCUAAUACAUGCAAGUCGAGCGAACGGACGAGAAGCUUGCUUUUCUGAUGUUAGCGGCGGACGGGUGAGUAACACGUGGAUAACCUACCUAUAAGACUGGGAUAACUUCGGGAAACCGGAGCAAUACCGGAUAAUAUUUUGAACCGCAUGGUUCAAAAGUGAAAGACGGUCUUGCUGUCACUUAUAGAUGGAUCCGCGCUGCAUUAGCUAGUUGGUAAGGUAACGGCUUACCAAGGCAACGAUGCAUAGCCGACCUGAGAGGGUGAUCGGCCACACUGGAACUGAGACACGGUCCAGACUCCUACGGGAGGCAGCAGUAGGGAAUCUUCCGCAAUGGGCGAAAGCCUGACGGAGCAACGCCGCGUGAGUGAUGAAGGUCUUCGGAUCGUAAAACUCUGUUAUUAGGGAAGAACAUAUGUGUAAGUAACUGUGCACAUCUUGACGGUACCUAAUCAGAAAGCCACGGCUAACUACGUG